rnacentral:rRNA from 1 species
UACGUAGGGGGCAAGGCGUUGUCCGGAAUUAUUGGGCGUAAAGCGCGUGUAGGCGGCCAGAUAAGUCCGCUGUGAAAUCUCGAGGCUCAACUUCGAGCUGUCGGUGGAAACUGUCUGGCUAGAGUCCGGAAGAGGAGAAUGGAAUUCCUGGUGUAGCGGUGGAAAUGCGCAGAUAUCAGGAAGAACACCCGUGGCGAAGGCGGUUCUCUGGGACGGUACUGACGCUGGAGACGCGAAAGCGUGGGGAGCGAACAGG